rnacentral:lncRNA from 1 species
AAAAUUAUUUUAAUUCAGAAAAUGAAAGAGGAUUUUAUUUGAAUUUUUUUUAUGAAACUCUCAUAUUUUUUGGAUCAAUAUUAAAUUUAUAAUGAAUUAAUGAAAAUAAAAGAAAUAAAAUGAAAUUCAAUUAAUCAGAAAUAAAACGUGGACCACUUGAUCUCCCUCAUUAAUUAAGGUGGCAAAUCAAGUGGUCUGAAACACGCGUU